CAGUCCCCUGGCUACAGAUGAGAAAACUGAAGCACCAAGUGGUUAACUAACUUGCUCAAGGUCAUGGAGACCAGAAGGCAAACCCAGUGGAGAGGAGCUUCAAAUAAAGGUGAUGCUGCUCCUUUAUGAUUGCAAAGGUUUUGAAGAGCAGCAAACUAAGCAAGGAAAUGAUGCCCCAAAGACACCAGCGCCACAGAAUGUCUGUGACUUGGGUAGAUAAACGAAAAACAGAAGAGACUGUGGAAUUUCUAAACCAAAGGACAAGUAAGAGCAUAU